rnacentral:rRNA from 1 species
CCUACGGGCGGCUGCAGUGAGGAAUAUUGGUCAAUGGACGAGAGUCUGAACCAGUCAAGUAGCGUGAAGGAUGACUGCCCUAUGGGUUGUAAACUUCUUUUAUAUGGGAAUAAAAUGUUCCACGUGUGGGAUUUUGUAUGUACCAUAUGAAUAAGGAUCGGCUAACUCCGUGCCAGCAGCCGCGGUAAUACGGAGGAUCCGAGCGUUAUCCGGAUUUAUUGGGUUUAAAGGGAGCGUAGGUGGAUUGUUAAGUCAGUUGUGAAAGUUUGCGGCUCAACCGUAAAAUUGCAGUUGAAACUGGCAGUCUUGAGUACAGUAGAGGUGGGCGGAAUUCGUGGUGUAGCGGUGAAAUGCUUAGAUAUCACGAAGAACUCCGAUUGCGAAGGCAGUUCACUGGACUGCAACUGACACUGAGGCUCGAAAGUGUGGGUAUCAAACAGGAUUAGAUACCCUAGUAGUC